rnacentral:piRNA from 1 species
UAUGGAUCUAGUCCCUCUUGGAGGUUUGGU